GUAAAUCUAUAAUUAGUGAUUUAAGGAAUAUACAAUUGUGGAAAUCACCUAAGGGUUGUUUCGAACAGAUUGAUUUAUUUAUGACUCAAGUACAAAACUCAAGUACAGAUAUUACGCCUUUAGGACUUUUUGUUGUAAACAAAACACUUAUAUCAUCAAUGUUUAUGUCAUUGGCAACAUAUAUUAUAGUACUAAUUCAGUUAUCGCCUGAACUGGAACUUUAUCAAUUAAAACCUAAAAUUUGAGAGUAUAAUAAUUAAAAUUAUGUCACUUAAAA